AGAGACAGAGGGAGACACAGAAUCCCAAGCAGGUUCCAGGCUCUGAGCUGUGAGCACAGAGCCCUAUGCAGGGCUCCGACUCAAGAACCGCGAGAUCGUGAUCUGAGCCGAAGUCGGAUGCUUAACCCACUGAGCCACCCAGUUGCCCCAUUUCGGUCUUACUCUUCAGGCAGGACUCUCCGUUUUCUAACUCAGUGGUUCUUGUACUUUUUGGUUUUAGGAGUGCAUUGCACAUUUAAAGAUCACCGAGGAUUGGGGUGCCUGGGUCGCUCCGUCAGUUAACGUGUCUGACUUCCACCCAGGUCAUGAUCUCAUGGUUCAUGAGUUCAAGUCCUGAGUCUGUCUCUGCUGUCAGCAAGGAGCCUGAAAUGUGCUCCUUGCCCGACUUGAAGGUAGAAGUUCCUUGAAAGAAAUAGAACCGUAUCUAUUUGCUGAUGAAGAUUCGUCUGUCCAUGGAAGCUGUGACUUUGGAAAAUGUUUCUGUAGAGCUGCUAUUUCUGCAAAGGGGAUGGGGACGAGGAGCCACAGGAGCCUGCACACCUGGCCGUCACACCAACAACUGGAAAGUCAGAGCGUUUUCAUCUGACUUAGACUGAGUCCAAGAUGGAGUGGCAUUCUGCUUGGGUUUUUAUAUAAUUUAAAAAAAUUUUUUUCCCUGAGUUUUAUUUAUUUAUUUUGAGAGAGAGCGAGAGUGUGUCCCAAGCAGGCUCCACCCUGUCAGCGCAGAGUCUGACUCGGGGCUCCACCCCAGGAACGGGGAGACCAUGACCUGAGCCGAAGUCAAGAGUCGGAUGCGCAGAUGACUGACUGAGCCACGUAGGCGCCCCUGUCUAGUUUUUUAACUACAGGGAAAUAAUCUACCCAUUCAAGGAAUUCUGUGUAAAGGUGGUUUUGAAAUUUUCACCUCCUCCUUGUUAAGAGAUUGACAAAUGCUAAGACGAUUUUAGAGCUGUGUGUUACGAGUAUGUUCUUACCCAUUUAGGAUAGUCUAGCUAUUUCCAGCGGAGAGCUGGACAGGGCUGUCUAUACUUUGAUCAAGAAAUGGCCAGAAUGGGGGGCCUGCGUCUCAGGGGUACACAGUGUAUUGUGGAGAGGAAGAAAAUCUUAGAACCUCUACUUCUGCAGUUUAAGCUAAGAAAAGAUUAAAUUAUAUCAAUAGUUGAUACUCAGACUCAUCGGUCUGUAUGUCAGGUUGUCUGUCGUAUACGUCUCUGAGGUAUCCUGUGGGAAGAGUGGAAAGAAUUGACGUGGUGUUUUUGUGUGUGUAUUCAUUUAGGUGUUACCUCCUUAGUUAGAAACUAAGUGUGAAUUAACUUACCUAACAAAGAUUCUUUUUAAGGGUUUAAAAAGAACCUUGCAAAGAAGCAGAUUAGAGCACGCAUUCUUCCUAACACAGGGGUGGCAGACAUUAGUAUAUGCUGCCUGAGCCCUGCCCAUGUGCCCGGGCUUCUGCUGGCGUCCCUGCACUUUCCGGAACCCAAGGGACUCUGGAGGUGUCUUCUGGCUACCAGAGCCUGCUGGGCUGCGUGCGGGCUGGGCCGGGCAGUCCUGAACCAGUGAACGCCCAACUUCCUUGGCCUUCAGCUGAGAGCACACGAAGGCGUUCUGAGAGUGGCCCCGGCAGGAUUGGUUCCAGUUGCCUACAGCAGCCAUCCGUGCGUGCUUCCCUGGCACUGCAGUCUCAUGGGGCCUCCUGGGAUGGUCUCCCUAAUCAACAACAAAUUCUGGUCCGGGAGCUACUUCUAUUGUGGGUCGAGGGGAAACCAAGCCAUCAGCAGACAAUAAAAAGUUGUCAGACCAACAGCACAUCUAGGCCCAGUAUUUGCUCUCCAGCCACACGGUGAAAUUUAAAACGAUGGCAGUCUAAUUGGUAAUCUGGUUAAUUACACUGGGCCCCAUUCCUGCCAUUCACACCCCCACACCCAUACGCCUGCAAUAAAUUUUAUUUGACCACUAAUGAACUUCCAAACGUUUUAAAAUACGACAUAUUUGAUCCCUAGUUUCAUCCUUUUUCACUUCAUAUUUUUGUGUUUUUUAUUACAUGCAAUACAUGUUACAUGUAAGUAAUUCAUAAAUAUUUGUAUGUUGGAGGCAUAUGCAUACUUUUCCCUCAGAUAAGUGUGUGAUCAGUAAGAUUGAAGGUCUCUUGCCCUACAGUACUUCUCUUUUUAGCUGUUAUGAAAAGAUAGGAAAAUUCUGUUACCUUCCCUGUCAAGCUCUGGGUGUAUGCGUUACAUGCAUAUACAAAAAAAACUUAGCAGUUCUUAGCAGAAUUCUAUCCUUAGAAUAUGAUAGUUUCCAUUUCUCCUCUAUAUAAAUGAAGUAUUAGCUUAAUGGACUGUUAUUCACAGAUUUAUAACUUAUUCUUCGGGAACAUGAUUAAAAAAUAAUGAACUUUUAUAUUAACUUAAAUUAUCAAUUAUAUAUUAAUGUGUCAGACCAAAGACUUAGUUAUCUUAAAAAGAUUUGUUAUCUGACAUGUUGGAAGGAAUUAAGAACCCUGGUUAAUAAAAAAUUCUUUUAAACUAAAAGUUAUACCAAUGGGAUUUCUUGAACAGUACAGAAAAUUUAAUACUUAUAAAAAGAAUGAGGCUGACAGGGGAAGAAGUUACACAGCAGAUACUGGGGUGCUGGUCAGAACCAGAAGAAUAAUGGGAGUGAAGGAUAACAAAUCCUAGAGUAUUUAUUCCAUUUGCCGGUAAAAACAAGGGUGAACUUCUCAGGAUCUUUGUGAGACUCCAGUAAAAGAAAACUGCAUAUGAAAGGUAUUGCAGACUUUCAUCUGAUAAAUGCUACACAAAAUUAAGGUAGUGUUUACCUUCACGCUUCCCUUGUGUAAGGUUUUCAGCUUUCAGGUAUUAAAUGUUGUAUUAUUAAUACCAUUCCAAAACAUUUUAGGCAGACUACUCUGCUGUAUGGAUUAUCCAAGAAUGAAGUGAAAUAGACACUUUCAGAUGAACAAAAACUGAGAAUUUACCACUACACUAAAGGAAUUCACUAAAGGAAUUAAAAAAAAUUUUUUUUUAACAUUUAUUUAUUUUUGAGAGACUGAGAGAGACAGAAUGUGAGCAGGGGAGGGACAGAGAGAGAGAGAGGGAGACACAGAAUCUGAAGCAGGCUCCAGGCUCUGAGCUGUCAGCACAGAGUCCGACACGGGGCUCGAACUCACGAACCACGAGAUCAUGACUUGAACCAAAGUCGGGCGCUUAACCCACUUAGUCACCCACCUGCCCCCUAAAGGAAUUUCUAAAAGAUAAACUUUAAGGAAGGGAAAUAUUAUCACAGGUCUGAGAUGUAAAGAGUAACAGCAGAGAAAAUAGCAAGCACUUGAGCAAAUCUAAAUACUGAUAGUGUAAACAGUGUCAUUUGUGGGGGGAAGGGAACUAUGUAAAGUCAAAUGUCGGGGUAUCCUGUUUAGUGCAUGUAAAGUAGGUAAUUGAAAUUGUAUCAGUCUAAAUACCUGGUAUUAUUUUAUGUUUUGAGGAUUUUUUUUUUUUCUUUUUCUUUUUCUUUUUUUUCAAGGGUGAGAGCUUGAGCAGGGGAGGGGCACAGGGAGAGAAUCCCAAGCAGUCUCCAGGCCCAGUGUGGAGCUCCAUGCAAGGUUCAUUUGCACCGUGAGAUCAUGACCUGAGCUGAAACUAAGAGUUUCACACUCAACGGACUGAGCCACCAGGAGCCCCUAAGGGAUUUUUUUUUUCAACUUAAGUUAAAUUCACAUUGUGUCCCUCAACUAAUUACCUUUUAUGAAAACGGGACACUGCUGCAGAUUCUAGUGACCUUCAAAAGAUAAGUUAUUAGGAAUUAUUUCAUGCUCAAGCUUUUUGAAAAGUGGUAAAAUGGGCAAAUUAGUAGAAAAAUACAGCUUAUUAAAGUCUGCAUAAGGAGACAUUUUUAAAGCCUCAAGAGUCUAUCACUAUUAAACAAUUGGAUCAGAAAUUUAAGAUGUAAGGAAACUCCAGGCUUUGAUAGUUUCUCCAAUGAGUUUUAUCAAGCGUUUGAAGGAACAAUGGUGUCAAUUUUAUUUGAACUCUUACAGAGAAUAAUAGAAAAAAGAGGGUCAGAUUCCAGUUCAUUUAAUCAGGCUACCAACACUUUGAUGCAAAACUGGACGGAGACGUAUGAGAGGGAAAUUACAAGCCCUUCUUACUGAUGGACAUAUAUGCAAAAAUACUGAACACAAUCAACAAUCCAAUGAGAUAUAAAUAGGAUACUACAUGACCAAGUUGGAUUUAUCCCAAGAACACAAGAUUGGUUUAGCAUUUGAAAAUCAAUAUAAUUCACCAUAUAAACUGGAUUAAAGGGGAAAAAUAAGAUCAUAUCAAACAAUGUAGAAGAAGUAUUUGAUAGGAUUCAGUAUCUUCAUGAUAAUAAAUGUCAAUUUCACACAGAUAUAAAAAAUAGUAUAUCAGUAGACACAGAAAAACUUUGAACGUAUCUUUUCAUCAUAUUGAUACCGUAGAAGAUAAUUUUCCUUGAGCUGAUAAAGGUGUCUACAAAAAAUCCCAUAGUAAACAUUACUAAUAGUGAAAUAAAAGCAUUCCCUUUAAAAUCAACAGAACAAGGGACUCAGUCAGCUUGAUUACGGCUCAGGUCAUGAUCUCACGGGGUUCCGGAGUUCGAGCCCCAAGUCAGGCUCUGUGCUGACAGCAUAGAGCCUGCUUGGGAUUUUCUCUCUAUCGUCUCUUGGCCCUGCCCCUGCUCACACUUGCAUGCUGUCUCUCCGUCAAAAAUAAACAUUAAAAAAUGUUUAAAACCUGUCACAUGUAUUCAACAUUGCACUGAAAGUGUCAGCACAGUAAGGCAAGGAAAAUGAGUAAAAGACAUAAGAAACAAAACUCACAAGAUGGUACAGUUGUACAACAUGGAAACUUAAAAUCGUCUGUAAACCUAUUAGCAAAUUUGCUAAAGGAUCAACAUUUAAAUUUUUCUAAAUACCAGCAGAAUUAGAAAAAUAGAGUUUAAAAAAUAUACAAUUUCAACCAUAACUAGAAAUAUGAGAUUCCUAGAAAUCUCACAAAAAUCUGCAAGACACUGGGUAAAAUUAUAAUGCUGUAUUGAAAGAUUUUUGGUGGGUGCCUGGGUGGCUCCGUCGAGCAUCCAACUCUUGAUUUUAGCUUAGGUCAUGAUCCCUGGGUUGUGGGAUCGAGUCUCACAUCAGGCUCCUUGCUGACCAUGGAGCCUGAUUAAGGUUCUCUUCCCGUCUUUCUGCCCCUCUCUUCCGCUCACACACUCUCUCUGUCUCUCUCU